rnacentral:rRNA from 1 species
CGUGUAGGCGGUGCGGUAAGUUGGGCGUGAAAUCCCCGAGCUUAACUCGGGUGGGCCGUUCAAGACUGCCGUGCUAGGGUGCGGGAGAGGGAAGUGGAACUUCCGGUGUAGCGGUGAAAUGCGUAGAUAUCGGGAGGAACACCUGCGGCGAAGGCGGCUUCCUGGACCGUAACCGACGCUGAGGCGCGAAAGCUAGGGGAGCAAACAGGAUUAGAUACCCUGGUAGUCCUAGCCCUAAACGAUGAGCACUGGGUGUGGCCCCUCACGAGGCCGUGCCGAAGCUAACGCAUUAAGUGCUCCGCCUGGGGAGUACGGUCGCAAGGCUGAA